UCCCCCCUCCAAAACCACCGCUUAAACCCUUCGUCGUCGUCCUCCUCCUCUUCCCCUACACCGUAAAAACCCUAGCGCCCAUAGCGCCUCCGCCUCCUCCCCGGCCGCGCCGACGCGGAGGGCAGCGGCGGCGGCGUCGCCGGCGAGGAGCGCUGCGAGCGCGACCUCCUCCUCCGCGGCGAUCGCGGCGGGGAGAGGCAGCGCGGGAGGACGAGGUCCGGGACGCCGCGGAAGAGGAGGAGGAGGGAAAUUGAGGGGGUAGAGAGAGAGGAGAGGUAGGCAUGUCCGAUAACGCGUAAUGGUUUUUGGGUUCGUGCUAUCUCGUUGCAAGGUAAAAUUUUGUAUUUUGAAAUUAAAUUUAAAUACAAAGCCAUUUCCACAAAAUUUAUCAUGAAAUUUGACCUAGUUACCAAAUUUUCAUUUUCUAUCAGUUGAUGUACGCUACUUCAUCUCUUUAUUAUUAAUAUUACAUGACGUUUGAACGGAGCAUUCAGUUAAACAAUAAUUGAGGUUUGAUGCAUCGGUGGUAAUGAUUUGAAUUUUUAUGCGUAAGAUGAAAUUUCGCAAUAUGGCUAGUUUGAAACUUUGAAUUUAAAUUUCGUCAUCAACAUGAUUUUUUUUUUGUUUUAUCCUUAAACAUGUUUGUUGAAAUGUUACGAUAACUCCCGUGAGAGUUGAAUGAGUGUGGUUCUGUUCCACUCUAUUUUUAACAAUACUAUAUCUAAAUUUUAAGUUUUAAACAUGUCUUGCUUGUUUAUUUCUUUCUUUGUUGUCGCAAACUGGUAUCUAUCACACAAUCUGAAGAAUUAAAUGGUAAUUUUGGUAGACAACCUGGUUUUAGCAGAAGCUAAUGUUCAAUGCAUUGAACCAUCAAUCGCAGCAGAUUACAAUUUUGUGACUUCAGUGAAAUUUUUGGGAGCUGAGCGAUCAAUACCGUUCAAAUGUUCGACGAAGUGAUUCCAUAUGUUUUAGGUGACUCUUUAAGUUUUCAAUCGAUACUGUUGUUCGAAAGUUAAGCAGCCAAACUAUUGGAGGCUCUAACGAGCAUCAGAAAACAAGCAAAGAGAAAAUCAAGAGACUACAUCUUGUUUUGUUGCUUGGAUAAAAAAUUUGAGGGAACCAAAGAAUAAGAGUGAACAACUCCCGCCAAAGUUCAUUUUCUUUCUUCUCAAAAGAAAAGGGGAGAAUAGUAACAACAGUAUCAAAUCUUUCUCUUUUUUCCUAUUUUUAUAGGUUCAAACGACAUAACAGAGAAUCAUUUUUCUCUCCUCUUUCUCCUUUUUUUUUCCUCCUUUUUUUUCCCUACUGUUUCCUCAUUCUUUUCUUCCAAACAGAGUGCAAAACUGAUUUUCCUCUGAAGAAACAAAACCUGAUGAAAAUUACAAGCACUCGACAUGAGGAAAAUGCAUAUUCACACUGUUAUCCAUCAACAGCAUCCAAGCCCUCUUAGUACCAUAACCAGUCCCCCAGAUAUGGCGUGAAAAAAAAAAAAAA